AUGCACAAUGCACGAGUCAGGGCCGCGCUCCCCGCUCCCCCGGCAAGCAGAACAUCUCCGGGUAUCGCCCACACGAGCCCGGGGCCGCCCUCUUCUUCCGGCGCCGGCCGCGCGGAGCCCGCUCCACCGGACACCGCCCCCAAAGUGCCCGCGCGGCCCCGCGACUCCGCCGCCCCAAGUUCGCCCGCGGCCGCUCCGGCGCGAAAGCGUCCCGCACUUGGCGGACCGAGAGUGGCGGCCGUCCGCCCCGGCUGGAUGUUGCAGAAGAAACUUUUCUCUCUUUUCCUUUCCUCUGAGCAUUCUUCUGUAUCUCCUGCACAUGACAGCAAACAACUGAUUGGGGACUCAAGAUGGCGCUGUGAGAACAACCCAGGAUUGGAGCUCUCGUUGUGUCCGCCGAGAGGGACAUGGAUGAAUCUGGAGAACAUCAUCCUCAGCAAACUGACACAAGAACAGAAAAUGAAACACCGCAUAUUCUCACUCAUAGUUCAUCGGCAUCUCAUUAUUGGGCCACAAGAAGUAGCAUCCCUACCCUCAGUUUGGUCUGGGAACAAAAUUUGGUGUGCCAGCCAAGAGAGACCAGGAUGGUGCUACGUUCACUGGCCAGUGGCUUGUGUGAAUGUUCAGGAGCAUCCCAGCAGUUGCCUGUGA
rnacentral:lncRNA from 13 species